AUAUUUUGAACCGCAUGGUUCAAAAGUGAAAGACGGUCUUGCUGUCACUUAUAGAUGGAUCCGCGCUGCAUUAGCUAGUUGGUAAGGUAACGGCUUACCAAGGCAACGAUGCAUAGCCGACCUGAGAGGGUGAUCGGCCACACUGGAACUGAGACACGGUCCAGACUCCUACGGGAGGCAGCAGUAGGGAAUCUUCCGCAAUGGGCGAAAGCCUGACGGAGCAACGCCGCGUGAGUGAUGAAGGUCUUCGGAUCGUAAAACUCUGUUAUUAGGGAAGAACAUAUGUGUAAGUAACUGUGCACAUCUUGACGGUACCUAAUCAGAAAGCCACGGCUAACUACGUGCCAGCAGCCGCGGUAAUACGUAGGUGGCAAGCGUUAUCCGGAAUUAUUGGGCGUAAAGCGCGCGUAGGCGGUUUUUUAAGUCUGAUGUGAAAGCCCACGGCUCAACCGUGGAGGGUCAUUGGAAACUGGAAAACUUGAGUGCAGAAGAGGAAAGUGGAAUUCCAUGUGUAGCGGUGAAAUGCGCAGAGAUAUGGAGGAACACCAGUGGCGAAGGCGACUUUCUGGUCUGUAACUGACGCUGAUGUGCGAAAGCGUGGGGAUCAAACAGGAUUAGAUACCCUGGUAGUCCACGCCGUAAACGAUGAGUGCUAAGUGUUAGGGGGUUUCCGCCCCUUAGUGCUGCAGCUAACGCAUUAAGCACUCCGCCUGGGGAGUACGACCGCAAGGUUGAAACUCAAAGGAAUUGACGGGGACCCGCACAAGCGGUGGAGCAUGUGGUUUAAUUCGAAGCAACGCGAAGAACCUUACCAAAUCUUGACAUCCUUUGACAACUCUAGAGAUAGAGCCUUCCCCUUCGGGGGACAAAGUGACAGGUGGUGCAUGGUUGUCGUCAGCUCGUGUCGUGAGAUGUUGGGUUAAGUCCCGCAACGAGCGCAACCCUUAAGCUUAGUUGCCAUCAUUAAGUUGGGCACUCUAAGUUGACUGCCGGUGACAAACCGGAGGAAGGUGGGGAUGACGUCAAAUCAUCAUGCCCCUUAUGAUUUGGGCUACACACGUGCUACAAUGGACAAUACAAAGGGCAGCGAAACCGCGAGGUCAAGCAAAUCCCAUAAAGUUGUUCUCAGUUCGGAUUGUAGUCUGCAACUCGACUACAUGAAGCUGGAAUCGCUAGUAAUCGUAGAUCAGCAUGCUACGGUGAAUACGUUCCCGGGUCUUGUACACACCGCCCGUCACACCACGAGAGUUUGUAACACCCGAAGCCGGUGGAGUAACCUUUUAGGAGCUAGCCGUCGAAGGUGGGACAAAUGAUUGGGGUGAAGUCGUAACAAGGUAGCCGUAUCGGAAGGUGCGGCUGGAUCACCUCCUUU
rnacentral:rRNA from 1 species